rnacentral:rRNA from 1 species
GAUGAACGCUGGCGGCGUGCCUAAUACAUGCAAGUCGAACGAAACUUCUUUAUCACCGAGUGCUUGCACUCACCGAUAAAGAGUUGAGUGGCGAACGGGUGAGUAACACGUGGGCAACCUGCCCAAAAGAGGGGGAUAACACUUGGAAACAGGUGCUAAUACCGCAUAACCAUAGUUACCGCAUGGUAACUAUGUAAAAGGUGGCUAUACUACCGCUUUUGGAUGGGCCCGCGGCGCAUUAGCUAGUUGGUAGGGUAAAGGCUUACCAAGGCAAUGAUGCGUAGCCGAAUUGAGAGGUUGAUCGGCCACAUUGGGACUGAGACACGGCCCAAACUCCUACGGGAGGCAGCAGUAGGGAAUCUUCCACAAUGGGCGAAAGACUGAUGGAGCAACGCCGCGUGGGUGAAGAAGGUCUUCGGAUCGUAAAACCCUGUUGUUAGAGAAGAAAGUGCGUGAGAGUAACUGGUCACGUUUCGACGGUAUCUAACCGGAAAGCCACGGCUAACUACGU